rnacentral:rRNA from 1 species
CACAGCCGCGGGAAUACGGAGGGUGCAAGCGUUAAUCGGAAUUACUGGGCGUAAAGCGCACGCAGGCGGUCUGACAAGUCAGAUGUGAAAUCCCCGGGCUUAACCUGGGAACUGCAUUUGAAACUGUCAGGCUGGAGUCUUGUAGAGGGGGGUGGAAUUCCAGGUGUAGCGGUGAAAUGCGUAGAGAUCUGGAGGAAUACCGGUGGCGAAGGCGGCCCCCUGGACAAAGACUGACGCUCAGGUGCGAAAGCGUGGGGAGCAAACAGGAUUAGAUACCCCGGUAGUCCCUGUCUCUUAUACA